UACGUAGGGUGCAAGCGUUGUCCGGAAUUAUUGGGCGUAAAGAGCUCGUAGGCGGUCUGUCGCGUCUGCUGUGAAAACUCAGGGCUUAACCCUGAGCUUGCAGUGGGUACGGGCAGACUAGAGUGCGGUAGGGGAGACUGGAAUUCCUGGUGUAGCGGUGAAAUGCGCAGAUAUCGGGAGGAACACCGGCGGCGAAGGCGGCGUCCUGGACCUGGCCUGACGCUCAGGAGCGAAAGCGUGGGGAGCGAUCCGG
rnacentral:rRNA from 1 species